rnacentral:rRNA from 1 species
UGUGGUGGAUUCGCAGCCGAAGCGAAAGCGAGUCUGAACAGGGCGUCGAGUCGGAAGGAGUAGACGCGAAACCAAGUGAUCUACCCUUGGUCAGGUUGAAGGUUAGGUAACACUAACUGGAGGACCGAACCGAUAAGCGUUGAAAAGCUUCCGGAUGAACUGAGGGUGGGGGUGAAAGGCUAAUCAAACUUGGAGAUAGCUCGUACUCCCCGAAAUGCAUUUAGGUGCAGCCUUGUGAGUUACUAAUGUGAGGUAGAGCGACUGAUAAGAUGCGAGGGCUUCACCGCCUAUCAAGUCUUGAUAAACUCCGAAUGCGCAUUAGUUCUAUCACAGGAGUGAGGGCAUGGGUGCUAAGGUCCAUGUCCUAAAGGAGAAGAAUCCAGACCAUCAGCUAAGGUCCCCAAAUAAACACUAAGUUGAACUAACGAAGUCAGAUUGCUAAGACAGCUAGGAUGUUGGCUUGGAAGCAGCCAUUCAUUUAAAGAGUGCGUAACAGCUCACUAGUCGAGGAGUUUGGCGUGGAUAAUAAUCGGGCAUUAAGUGUUUUACCGAAGCUAUGGGAUCAGUAAUGAUCGGUAGGGGAGCAUUCCACUCUGCGUCGAAGGUGAAGCGUGAGCUUUGCUGGAGCGUGUGGAAAAGCAAAUGUAGGUAUAAGUAACGAUAAAGGGGGUGAGAAACCCCCUCGCCGAAAGACUAAGGUUUCCUGAUCAACGCUAAUCGGAUCAGGGUUAGUCGGGUCCUAAGGCUCAGCCGAACGGUGAGGCCGAUGGCAGAACAGGUUAAUAUUCCUGUACUACCUUAAGGAGUGACGUGGAGACGGAGCAGUGACAGCGCCGCGGACUGACGGAAUAGUCCGUUGAAGGGUGUAGAUGUUGAUCAUCCCAGGCAAAUCCGGGAUGAGAGUCGAACCUGAUAGUAUGGAGCGUUCUUCGGAACAAUCCAAUAGUGCGUGUAAGCAUACUCCCAAGAAAAUCCGCUAAACUUAAUCCUUAAGGUACCCGUACCGCAAACGGACACACGUAGUCGGGUUGAAUAUACUAAGGCGCUUGAGUGAUUCACGGUUAAGGAACUAGGCAAAUUGACCCUGUAACUUCGGGAUAAAGGGUCCCAACGAGAGUUGGGCGCAGAGAAUAGGUCCAGGCAACUGUUUAACAAAAACACAGGGCUGUGCCAAAUUGAAAGAUUACGUAUACAGCCUGACACCUGCCCGGUGCUGGAAGGUUAAGAGGAGAUGUCAUCGCAAGAGAAGCAUUGAAUUGAAGCCCCAGUAAACGGCGGCCGUAACUAUAACGGUCCUAAGGUAGCGAAAUUCCUUGUCGGGUAAGUUCCGACCUGCACGAAUGGUGUAAUGAUCUGGACACUGUCUCAACCGUGAGCUCAGUGAAAUUGUAGUAUCGGUGAAGAUGCCGAUUACCCGCGAUGGGACGAAAAGACCCCGUGAACCUUUACUAUAGCUUAACAUUGAAUUUGGGUAAUUGAUGUGUAGGAUAGGCCGGAGACUUUGAAGCAGGUACGCCAGUAUUUGUGGAGUCGCUGUUGAAAUACGGCCCUUUGAUUAUUUGAGUUCUAACUCGUAGUUGCGAGGACACUGUUUGGUGGGUAGUUUGACUGGGGUGGUCGCCUCCAAAAUAGUAACGGAGGCUUCUAAAGGUGCCCUCAGGACGAUUGGUAACCGUCCGUAGAGUGUAAUGGCAUAAGGGCGCUUGACUGGGAGACUAACAAGUCGAUCAGGUAGGAAACUAGAGCAUAGUGAUCCGGUGUUUCCGUAUGGAAGGGACAUCGCUCAAAGGAUAAAAGGUACUCCGGGGAUAACAGGCUGAUCCCUCCCAAGAGCUCAUAUCGACGGAGGGGUUUGGCACCUCGAUGUCGGCUCGUCACAUCCUGGGGCUGGAGAAGGUCCCAAGGGUUGGGCUGUUCGCCCAUUAAAGUGGCACGCGAGCUGGGUUCAGAACGUCGUGAGACAGUUCGGUCUCUAUCUAUCGUGGGCGUAUGAAAUUUGCGUGGCUCUGACACUAGUACGAGAGGACCGUGUUGGACUGACCGCUGGUUUACCAGUUGUGCCGCCAGGUGCAUUGCUGGGUAUCUAAGUCGGGAUUGGAAUAAGUUGCUGAAAGCAUCUAAGUUACGAAGCCAGGCCACAAGAUUAGAUUUCU